ACGUAGGGGGCGAGCGUUGUCCGAAGUUACUGGGCGUAAAGCGCGCGUAGGCGGGUUGGCAAGUCUGCUGUGAAAGCCCGGAGCUCAACUCCGGAGGGUCGGUGGAUACUGCCAGUCUUGAAGUGGCUAGGGGGAGAUGGAAUUACCGGUGUAGCGGUGAAAUGCGUAGAGAUCGGUAGGAACACCAGUGGCGAAGGCGGUCUCCUGGGGCCCACUUGACGCUGAGGCGCGAAAGCUGGGGGAGCAAACGGGA
rnacentral:rRNA from 1 species